rnacentral:rRNA from 2 species
UACGUAGGGGGCAAGCGUUGUCCGGAAUGAUUGGGCGUAAAGGGCGCGUAGGCGGCCCGGUAAGUCUGGAGUGAAAGUCCUGCUUUUAAGGUGGGAAUUGCUUUGGAUACUGCUGGGCUUGAGUGCAGGAGAGGUAAGUGGAAUUCCCGGUGUAGCGGUGAAAUGCGUAGAGAUCGGGAGGAACACCAGUGGCGAAGGCGACUUACUGGACUGUAACUGACGCUGAGGCGCGAAAGUGUGGGGAGCAAAC